rnacentral:rRNA from 1 species
GACGAGGGAUCCUAGCGUUGUUCGGAAUUACUGGGCGUAAAGCGUGCGCAGGCGGUUCGCUAAGACAGAUGUGAAAUCCCCGGGCUUAACCUGGGAACUGCAUUUGUGACUGGCGGGCUAGAGUAUGGGCAGAGGGGGGGUAGAAUUCCACGUGUAGCAGUGAAAUGCGUAGAGAUGUGGAGGAAUACCGAUGGCGAAGGCAGCCCCCUGGGCCCAAUACUG